AUGUUGGAAUGGAUAAACAUUUAGGUCAAUACAAGGUGAACGUUUUCUAGGCAAUAAUGAAUGAAUGACAAUUGGUAUGUGAAGCUGUAGAUGUAGAGGCGGAAGAGUGUGGAAUCACACCAGGCCUGGAGCACAGCAACACAUUUGGUGGACAGGAUGCAUAUAAGCCCCUUCCACUCCAGUUAAUUACUGUUCGUAUUAGGCUUUCUUAUAAAUCGUCUCAUUUGGUUUAUCAGAUUAGAAAGCAAAACAACAACUGGUAAUUUUAUUUCUUCUCCACUCUGCUAUGUGGAAUCUGUGAAGGCAGUACUUUAAAUAGACACAUUGCAUAUUAAACCAAUCUAAGAAAAUGAAAUUAUAAUUUACAUUAUUUCAUGUAUAAGUAGGUAAUGUUAACUAAAGUUAAUAGAGAAAUUCUAUGGAUGUAUAUUCCUGACAUUUUUCAUAUGUAAAAAAUAGCUAACAAUUAUGGGUCACAUAUUGUGUGCCAUGCACUGUACUUAACACUUAACAUCAGUUAUCUUAUUAAUCGUUUACAUAAGUAAUUUUUAAUGAAGAAUUAUCUAUAAUGUUGAACCAAUUUACUUCAUAUUUGGAACUGAGUAGUGAUAAAAAUGACAAUAAGAUUGCAACGUUUUUUAAAAGUGACUUUAGCAGACAGUACAGUUGCCCAAAGUUUGUCAGGCAGAGUCAAGUAUAGCCAAGAAAAGAGAAUUAGUAAAUUGGACAGGAAGUUAGUCUCUAUUUGAAUUUUGAAUGUGUCAUAUAUUUUAAUUGUUGACUAUAAAAUCUUAAUUUUCAUUUGCAAUAUUUAAGACUUAUUCCUGGCAACAUCUUAGUUCCAUCAGGAAGCUUUCGCCUGUCUGCUUCAGAUUUUCAACAUAAACUAUUCAUCAGAGGCCGACUUUUGCAGGCAAGUGGCAUACAAGGGACUGUCACUCAAAAUAUAUAUUUUUAAGAUGGAAAAGUCUAUUUUGCUCAGAUUUAUUUUUUUGUCUCCCAAUAGACAACAUGGGACUAAAGUAAUUUAUCUCUCAACUUGCUAGGGGAUGUUUUAAAUUUCGGUAAGCAGCAGUGUUAUAUUAGCAUGGACCAUUUGGGCAAAUAUGUUCCAGGGAGAUAAUAAAUAACUAAACUGCAUGGUUAAAAAAUCAGAAACAAAACAAUUUGUUCUUGUCAUCUGGUGGUACUUAAAUUAUGAAAAAUAGCUCUCCAAAGGUUUAACUAAUCCCUGAAUCUACUUUGAAGCUGUUGCUGACUUUAUUCUAUCAUACUGCACAUAAUAUCUUGAAAUCCACUGAAAACCUGUGUUUGCAUGUGUAAUACCUUCCAAGAUGAUGAUGUUUAAUAAUUUGCAUAAAGAUAUUUAGGCUGAAGGUUAAUAGAGAAACAAGAUUACUCAAUUCUAUCAUUUGUGCCUGUGGUAAUUAGUUUAUAUGCCAUAGUUUUAAUUAAAGUAUUAAAUGAUACUGGUAUAACUAUACUUUCUGGGGAAGGGACUGAGGGAAUUUUUAGUGAUAAGACAGGGAAAUGAUUAAGAAAGAAAUGCACACACAUGCUCAAACUGAUCAACAGAGGGGCAAUGUCUUAACUAUCUGAAAUUCUUAAUUCAGAACUGUUUUGAAAACUGAGAAAGUUGUCGUUUAUGUGGUCAUGUCAUCCAACCAUAAUGAUAUAUUUUUCAUAUACAGCAGAUCAGGUCCUUGCCACAGAUAAGUUGGAGGGUGAACACUUGCUCUCUGUGGUAAGGGUGUAGAUAUUAUUCAUCUUUGUUUCUCUAAUACUAAGCACAGAAAAGGUUGCCAAAACAGUUGUUGAAUAAGUGGAAUGUGGCUCCCUCAGUUGAUGUUGAGACCCCAAAAUCUCCCUGUAUAAAGUCUAAGUGAGAUGGGAACAGGAGACUGGGUUAAGGGAGAAAGAAUUCAUCUGAGACUUUUUCUCCUUUAAUUUUACCCACUUAAGGCAUUUAACUGUUUUUUUUUUUUAAAUUUCCUCCCCUAAUUUUCUAUUAGCACAGAAUUCAUUUUAAGCAAAAUUCACGUCUAUAAAAGCAUCAGAACAGAAUUUGGGUGAUUCAGUGUGAAUCCUCUUUCAUUACUGAGAAUUGUCCUUUGUCUCAAUUCUGUUAAGAUUGGAUCUGUAUAUAUUUUGGUGACUCAGUGAUUUGAAUCACUUUAAUGAAAGACUGAUUUACUUAACUUAGCUGCACAUAUCUUAACAUAUAUUUUGAAAGAGCAAAAAGAUAGCUGUAAAUGGUUUUGAUAUGAAAGAGAAUGACUCCUUCUCCAAAAUAUGAUUUUUUCUCAAAAUUAUAAUUGAAAUUGUUUUUGAGCUAAAUAAUUCUGAAACCAUUCAGACAAAAAAUCACAAAUGAAUAAUUGAAUUUUUUUUUAUAAGAAAACAUGAACUGACACUGAGAAAAUACUUUGAUGUAGUGGCAUAAAUUAAGUGCUCUUUGAAUGUUUGGCAUAAUAUGUCAUAUUCUGUAGCGGUGGAUUUGGUUAACAGAGCAGAUGCAGAGUUACAGGUUCUCCAAAUCCUGACGCCCUAUAUGAAUUUAUGCUUAUUAAAAUUGAUCAAGUGAGCUUUUCUGUUUCAUGAAAUAAAGGAAUAAUGAAAUGUGUAUGUUAUCAAUGAAAAGUUUGGGGUUUGAAAAAGAAGAGCAUAUUUAUAAUACGGGUUUUCAAAAAAUGCUCCUAAGCCAAAAGCAAUAUCCCAUUUAUUGGUGGAGAAGAAAUUCAGUUUUAAGGUAUUGGAUAUAACUGGUUGCAUAUCCCACUAAGAUCUAUGUUUUCUUCUUAAAUUGUGACAACCUCUCUAAGCACACAUAUUUGAAGAAGUGUUUUCUCAUUUUGUUGUUUUCUAUAAAAAGUCACAGUUUUGUUUUUUCAUUGAUGUUUUGACCAU